UGGGAAUUUUGGACAAUUGGGCGAAAGCCUGAUCCAGCAAUGCCGCGUGUGUGAAGAAGGCCUUCGGGUUGUAAAGCACUUUUGUCCGGAAAGAAAUCCUUGGCUCUAAUACAGUCGGGGGAUGACGGUACCGGAAGAAUAAGCACCGGCUAACUACGUGCCAGCAGCCGCGGUAAUACGUAGGGUGCAAGCGUUAAUCGGAAUUACUGGGCGUAAAGCGUGCGCAGGCGGUUUGCUAAGACCGAUGUGAAAUCCCCGGGCUCAACCUGGGAACUGCAUUGGUGACUGGCAGGCUAGAGUAUGGCAGAGGGGGGUAGAAUUCCACGUGUAGCAGUGAAAUGCGUAGAGAUGUGGAGGAAUACCGAUGGCGAAGGCAGCCCCCUGGGCCAAUACUGACGCUCAUGCACGAAAGCGUGGGGAGC
rnacentral:rRNA from 1 species